rnacentral:rRNA from 1 species
GUCAUAUGCUUGUCUCAAAGAUUAAGCCAUGCAUGUCUCAGUACAAGCCAAAUUAAGGUGAAACCGCAAAAGGCUCAUUAAAUCAGUUAUGGUUCCUUAGAUCGUACCCACAAUUACUUGGAUAACUGUGGUAAUUCUAGAGCUAAUACAUGCAAACAGAGCUCCGACCGGAGACGGGAGGAGUGCUUUUAUUAGAUCAAAACCAAUCGGUGGCGGGUUCGCCCGUUAUCGCAUAACUUGGUGACUCUGAAUAACUUUACGCUGAUCGCACGGUCAUCGCACCGGCGACGCAUCUUUCAAAUGUCUGCCUUAUCAACUGUCGAUGGUAGGUUCUGCGCCUACCAUGGUUGUAACGGGUAACGGGGAAUCAGGGUUCGAUUCCGGAGAGGGAGCCUGAGAAACGGCUACCACAUCCAAGGAAGGCAGCAGGCGCGCAAAUUACCCACUCCCGGCACGGGGAGGUAGUGACGAAAAAUAACGAUACGGGACUCAUCCGAGGCCCCGUAAUCGGAAUGAGUACACUCUAAACCCUUUAACGAGGAUCAAUUGGAGGGCAAGUCUGGUGCCAGCAGCCGCGGUAAUUCCAGCUCCAAUAGCGUAUAUUAAAGUUGUUGCGGUUAAAAAGCUCGUAGUCGAAUUUGUGUCUCGCGCCGCCGGUUCAUCGUCCGCGGUGUUAACUGGCGAGUCGCGAGACGUCCUGCCGGUGGGCUUAGCUCGCGAGGGCGGCCCAACUCAAUCCUGCCGCGGUGCUCUUCAUUGAGUGUCGAGGUGGGCCGGCACGUUUACUUUGAACAAAUUAGAGUGCUUAAAGCAGGCUAAAACUUCGCCUGAAUACUGUGUGCAUGGAAUAAUAGAAUAGGACCUCGGUUCUAUUUUGUUGGUUUUCGGAACCCCGAGGUAAUGAUUAAUAGGAACGGAUGGGGGCAUUCGUAUUGCGACGUUAGAGGUGAAAUUCUUGGAUCGUCGC